GGAUUAGAAACCCGGGUAGUCCACGCCGUAAACGAUGGAUACUAGCUGUCCGGCCCCUUGCGGGCUGGGCGGCCAAGCGAAAGUGAUAAGUAUCCCACCUGGGGAGUACGUCCGCAAGGAUGAAACUCAAAGGAAUUGACGGGGGCCCGCACAAGCGGUGGAGCAUGUGGUUUAAUUCGAUGAUACGCGAGGAACCUUACCAGGGCUUGAAUGUAGGGCGACGGGCGCGGAAACGCGCCUUUCCUCGGACGGCCUACAAGGUGCUGCAUGGUUGUCGUCAGCUCGUGCCGUGAGGUGUCAGGUUAAGUCCUAUAACGAGCGCAACCCCUGUUGCCAGUUGCCAGCGAAUAAUGUCGGGGACUCUGGCAAGACUGCCGGUGCAAACCGCGAGGAA
rnacentral:rRNA from 1 species